rnacentral:rRNA from 1 species
UACGUAGGGUGCGAGCGUUGUCCGGAAUUAUUGGGCGUAAAGAGCUUGUAGGCGGUUUAUCGCGUCUGCCGUGAAAAUUCGAGGCUCAACCUCGAACUUGCGGUGGGUACGGGCAGACUAGAGUGUGGUAGGGGAGACUGGAAUUCCUGGUGUAGCGGUGAAAUGCGCAGAUAUCAGGAGGAACACCGAUGGCGAAGGCAGGUCUCUGGGCCAUAACUGACGCUGAGAAGCGAAAGCAUGGGGAGCGAACAGG